CAGUAGCCGCGGUAACACGUAGGGUGCAAGCGUUAAUCGGAAUUACUGGGCGUAAAGCGUGCGCAGGCGGUUAUAUAAGACAGAUGUGAAAUCCCCGGGCUCAACCUGGGAACUGCAUUUGUUACUGUAUAGCUAGAGUACGGCAGAGGGGGAUGGAAUUCCGCGUGUAGCAGUGAAAUGCGUAGAUAUGCGGAGGAACACCGAUGGCGAAGGCAAUCCCCUGGGCCUGUACUUACGCUCAUGCACGAAAGCGUGGGGAGCAAACAGGAUUAGAUACCCGAGUAGUCCCUGUCUCUUAUAA
rnacentral:rRNA from 1 species